ACUCCCCCGCCCUCCCCAGGGCCCUGGGAAGGGGCUCAGCGUGGGAAAGGAUGGUUGAGUUUUAACCAGAGGCAAAGCGUGAGCGGGAUCAGUGUGUGCGGAACGCGAGCAGCCGAGAGCGGAGAGGCGCCGCUGUAGUUAACUCCUCCCUGCCCGCCGCGCCGACCCUCCCCUGGAUCCCCCAGGCAACCAGCAUGAAGCGAGCUCACCCCGAGUACAGCUCCUCGGACAGCGAGCUGGACGAGACCAUCGAGGUGGAGAAGGAGAGUGCGGACGAGAAUGGAAACUUGAGUUCGGCUCUAGGUUCCAUGUCCCCAACUACAUCUUCCCAGAUUUUGGCCAGAAAAAGACGGAGAGGAGUGAGUCUCUUUACACUCUCCUUUUAUUUUUGUUAUUGAUUAACGGAAAUAACCACCUUUUUUUUUUGUCUUGGAAAUUUACAGUCGUAAUGGUAAUGCCUUCCUUUGUUUUGCUUGCCUUCUGCAGAUAAUUGAGAAGCGCCGACGAGACCGGAUCAAUAACAGUUUGUCUGAGCUGAGAAGGCUGGUACCCAGUGCUUUUGAGAAGCA
rnacentral:sRNA from 1 species